rnacentral:rRNA from 1 species
AGCGAACGCUGGCGGCAGGCCUAACACAUGCAAGUCGAACGGACCCUCCGGGGUUAGUGGCGGACGGGUGAGUAACACGUGGGAACGUGCCCUUUGGUUCGGAACAACACAGGGAAACUUGUGCUAAUACCGGAUAAGCCCUUCGGGGGAAAGAUUUAUUGCCAUUGGAGCGGCCCGCGUUGGAUUAGGUAGUUGGUGAGGUAAAGGCUCACCAAGCCUGCGAUCCAUAGCUGGUCUGAGAGGAUGAUCAGCCACAUUGGGACUGAGACACGGCCCAAACUCCUACGGGAGGCAGCAGUGGGGAAUCUUGCGCAAUGGGCGAAAGCCUGACGCAGCCAUGCCGCGUGAAUGAUGAAGGUCUUAGGAUUGUAAAAUUCUUUCAGCGGGGACGAUAAUGACGGUACCCGCAGAAGAAGCCCCGGCUAACUUCGUGCCAGCAGCCGCGGUAGUACGAAGGGGGCUAGCGUUGCUCGGAAUUACUGGGCGUAAAGGGAGCGUAGGCGGAUAGUUUAGUCAGAGGUGAAAGCCCAGGGCUCAACCUUGGAAAUGCCUUUGAUACUGGCUAUCUUGAGUAUGGGAGAGG